GCCUCAGGCGGGGCCUGGGCGGUGGCGGCUCACCUGCCCUGCCCUGCCCUGCCCUGCCCUGCCCUGCCCGCCCCCUCCCGUCCCGGGCGCGGUGAAGGGCUCGGCCGUGCCCGCUCUCACGGCUCUCCAGGCCUGGCGGGCAGUGUGGCUUCCUCAGCGCUCCGAGUGCGGUAGAAGCGCGGCCUGGUGCCGCUGGCCCCGGUCAGCCUGAGGGGCAGUAGGGUGAGCGGGCGGGCUGCGGCCUUUCCUUGGUUCGGAGUCUCUGGUAACAGCAGCAGGAGCUUGGGAGGGAGUGCGGGCCGGGGGAGGAACCGAGAGGCGACCUGGCUUCAAAAUAUCGAACCCGAGCACUGUGCAGGAGAGAAGGGGUUUUGUUCCCCCUCUCUGCUAACUUUAGCCCAAUUCUGUGUUUAAAAACCAUCAAAACCAACCAGAAAAACACAUUUGAGAGAUGAUUCCCGAGGGGUCUGGAUGGCUGCAAAGGAAAGGACUUCACAAAGAUGGGUCCCACCGGUUUCGUGGCACUGGAGAACAUCACACUUUUAUAGCUGGAUUGUACUUGCCUACUUUUGAGCAAAUCCUUCUACAAAUUUGCACCUUCCUGUUAGGCAGUUAAUAUUUCCGUAUUACCUGUUGGGUCAUUUUGUUUCCAGUCUUUGAGUUUGCUUAAUUCUUUUUCCUUGCCAUGUGUAUUUCUCUGUACUAUCCUGCUGAUGCUCUUAUGGCACAAAAGAAACAAGCUGUCCUUCUGAGCCAAUUAUCAAGAUUCCUGGAGCAAUUCACUUAUUAUACAUGAAGAUGUUCAGGGUUUUUUUUCCCCUCCCUUUUUCAUCUGUGUGGUCUCCUCCAUCUUACUUCUCUUUUACCAUCUCCCAUCCUUUUUAUACUUGUUUUUCAAGCAUAAGAUUUGUAUUCCUUUCUCUCACUUCUAAACUUAUUUUCUAAUCACCUUUAGUUUAUGAUUUCAGUCUGUUACUGUAGUGGGUUCUUAAAAUACGCACAUGCAUAUACACACAUAUUUCUUCAAGGUACACCAAAAGUUUUCUGACUUCUGGCUUAACGAGAUUAUCCGAACACAAUAGACAUAUGUUUGUAUGAAAAAGAUUAAAAAUUGAAGAUAGACUGUCCAUCUCACAGGAUUCACUUCUCUCCUGUUUUCUGGAGAAAGAAAUCCACCACAGCUCUUCAUUAUAUAAUGUGUACCUCCUUUAGAAACAUAGUAACAAGUAAAGCUUGUAUCUUUCUCAAAAUUCCAUGUAGCUAAUUCAUUAACCCUUGUGAUACUGAUUGGUCAAUUAAUCUGCUGAUAGGAAACAGGGCAUAGCUGUAAUUCUAGCAGCAUACCUGUAUGUGUUAGGAAUUUCUAGGGCUGAAGGAUGUACUCUUCUAAACAGCAAAGCCAAACUGUUGGCCGAGAGAAGAGCAGACAGAAUUAAUCCAUUUUCUUGGUGUCACUUGAUCUUAAAUAUGACGAGAGGAAGAUGGCAGUUUCUUGCAAAAAAACCCCUUAAUAUUGAUUCA
rnacentral:lncRNA from 1 species